rnacentral:rRNA from 1 species
AACGAACGCUGGCGGCAUGCCUAACACAUGCAAGUCGAACGAGACCUUCGGGUCUAGUGGCGCACGGGUGCGUAACGCGUGGGAAUCUGCCCUUGGGUUCGGAAUAACAGUUAGAAAUGACUGCUAAUACCGGAUAAUGUCUUCGGACCAAAGAUUUAUCGCCCAGGGAUGAGCCCGCGUAGGAUUAGCUAGUUGGUGAGGUAAAGGCUCACCAAGGCGACGAUCCUUAGCUGGUCUGAGAGGAUGAUCAGCCACACUGGGACUGAGACACGGCCCAGACUCCUACGGGAGGCAGCAGUGGGGAAUAUUGGACAAUGGGCGAAAGCCUGAUCCAGCAAUGCCGCGUGAGUGAUGAAGGCCUUAGGGUUGUAAAGCUCUU